UACAGAGGGGGCAAGCGUUGUUCGGAAUUACUGGGCGUAAAGGGCGCGUAGGCGGCCUGCUAAGUCGAACGUGAAAUCCCUGGGCUCAACCCAGGAACUGCGUCCGAUACUGGUUGGCUUGAAUCCGGGAGAGGGACGUGGAAUUCCAGGUGUAGCGGUGAAAUGCGUAGAUAUCUGGAGGAACACCGGUGGCGAAGGCGACGUCCUGGACCGGCAUUGACGCUGAGGCGCGAAAGCUAGGGGAGCGAACGGG
rnacentral:rRNA from 1 species